rnacentral:lncRNA from 1 species
ACCAACUCGAAUUGGGAGAAAUCCAAACCCACAACUGAAAUCGAACUUAAAUUCCAAAACUAGUACCGAGCUCGAUGAACCAAAACGAAAAUCGCAAUAAGAGAGUCAACGAGUUCGAAAAUCCGAUGGACCCGUCGGAACAGUAACAGGAACAGUGACUGGGUGUUUUCUGGUGGAUUUUGAACUGAAAAACGAGGACCCUUUGCUAC